CUCUACUGAGAUAACGUCCCACAGCAGAUUUUCUGAAGCCUUCAGAGAUUAUUGCUGGGCCAGGAUUGCAGGCUUUGCUGAGUGAACCAGCAGAGGGUUUUUUUUGUGAACCAAGCAAGGCAGAGAAAAGCCAGUGUAUCUGAAAAGUGCCCAUCUCUGAGGUGGACAGAUGCCAGUGGGGACAUCACGUAUCGUGUAACAUAUUUCAGCUCGAGGCUCAGAAAUGUCACAGGAUCCACAGAAUCCUUGAAGAACAGAGAGG
rnacentral:lncRNA from 1 species